CAAUAGCGUAUAUUAAAGUUGUUGCAGUUAAAAAGCUCGUAGUUGGAUUUGUGGUUCGUCCCGCCGGCUGGGUCAUUGACUUUUGCUGUGCUGGUCGUCCAUCCUUGGGUGGAAUCUGUGUGGCAUUAGGUUGUCGCGCAGGGGAUGCCCAUCGUUUACUGUGAAAAAAUUAGAGUGUUCAAAGCAGGCUUAUGCCGUUGAAUAUAUUAGCAUGGAAUAAUGAUAUAGGACCUUGGUACUAUUUUGUCGGUUUGCGCACUGAGGUAAUGAUUAAUAGGGACAGUUGGGGGUAUUCGUAUUCCAUUGUAAGAGGUGAAAUUCUUGGAUUUUUGGAAGACGAACUACUGCGAAAGCAUUUACCAAGGAUGUUUUCAUUAA
rnacentral:rRNA from 1 species